AUAUUUACCUAGAAGGGGAAAUGCCAUGAUCCCACAGUUAGGCUCAUUCACUACACCCUGGAUACAUUACCCCUGUGAUUUCCCCAAAUUCAGGAAACUUGACUGCAUCUUUUGUGGUGUCAGAGACUACAGUCACACUUUGU
rnacentral:snRNA from 1 species